AGGUGCGACCAUACCAGCACUAAUGCACCGGAUCCCAUCAGAACUCCGCAGUUAAGCGUGCUUGGGCGAGAGUAGUACUGGGAUGGGUGACCUCC
rnacentral:rRNA from 1 species